rnacentral:rRNA from 1 species
AUUGAACGCUGGCGGAAUGCUUUACACAUGCAAGUCGAACGGCAGCACGGGUGCUUGCACCUGGUGGCGAGUGGCGAACGGGUGAGUAAUAUAUCGGAACGUAUCCAAUAAUGGGGGAUAACUAGCCGAAAGGUUAGCUAAUACCGCAUACGCCCUGAGGGGGAAAGCUGGGGAUCGUAAGACCUAGCGUUGAUGGAGCGGCCGAUAUCUGAUUAGCUAGUUGGUGGGGUAAGAGCCUACCAAGGCGACGAUCAGUAGCUGGUCUGAGAGGACGACCAGCCACACUGGAACUGAGACACGGUCCAGACUCCUACGGGAGGCAGCAGUGGGGAAUUUUGGACAAUGGGGGCAACCCUGAUCCAGCCAUUCCGCGUGAGUGAAGAAGGCCUUCGGGUUGUAAAGCUCUUUCGCAAGGGAAGAAAACUCGAUCUCUAAUAUAGGUUGAGGCUGACGGUACCUUGAUAAGAAGCACCGGCUAACUACGUGCCAGCCGCCGCCGUAA